rnacentral:rRNA from 1 species
CCUACGGGGAGCAGCAGUGAGGAAUAUUGGUCAAUGGGCGAGAGCCUGAACCAGCCAAGUCGCGUGAGGGAGUACUGCCCUAUGGGUUGUAAACCUCUUUUGUCGGGGAGCAAAAGCCGGACGUGUCCGGCUGUGAGAGUACCCGAAGAAAAAGCAUCGGCUAACUCCGUGCCAGCAGCCGCGGUAAUACGGAGGAUACGAGCGUUAUCCGGAUUUAUUGGGGUUAAAGGGUGCGCAGGCGGAUGUUUAAGUCAGCGGUCAAAUCGUGGGGCUCAACCCCAUCCAGCCGGUGAAACUGGGGAUCUAGAGUGUGCGAGAGGUAUGCGGAAUGCGUGGUGUAGCGGUGAAAUGCAUAGAUAUCACGCAGAACCCCGAUUGCGAAGGCAGCAUACCGGUGCACAACUGACGCUCAGGCACGAAAGCGUGGGUAUCGAACAGGAUUAGAUACCCUAGUAGUC